rnacentral:rRNA from 1 species
GAUCAUGGCUCAGGAGUGAACGCUGGCGGCAAGGCUUAAUACAUAGCAAGUCGAACGGUAAGGCCGAGUGCAGCAAUGCACGAGGUACACGAGUGGCGCACGGGUGCGUAACGCGUAUGCAACCUGCCCCCAACCGGGACAAAACAGCUGGAAACGGCUGCUAAUAUCCCAUGGUCACUUAAAACGGCAUCGUUAUGGGUGUAAAGAUUUAUGGUUGGGGAUGGGCAUGCGUAUUAUUAGGUAGUUGGCGGGGUAACGGCCCACCAAGCCGACGAUGAUUAGGGGUUCUGAGAGGAAAGACCCCCACACUGGAACUGAGACACGGUCCAGACUCCUACGGGAGGCAGCAGUAGGGAAUAUUGGGCAAUGGAGGCAACUCUGACCCAGCCAAUGCCGCGUGAAGGAAUAAGGCCCUAUGGGUCGUAAACUUCUUUUACCGCAGAGUAAACCCGGGGACGCGUCCCCGGUUGAGAGUAUGCGGGGAAUAAGUAUCGGCUAACUCCGUGCCAGCAGCAGC